rnacentral:rRNA from 1 species
UGAAUACGAGACGCUAAGGCGUCGAAGUAGUGUAUGUCAUACUUCCAAGAAAAGCUUGCACUGUCAUAGAUAAAAAACGCCUGUACCAUAACCGACACAGGUGGGUAGGUAGAGUAUACUAAGGGGCGCGAGAUAACUCUCUCUAAGGAACUCGGCAAAAUAACUCCGUAACUUCGGGAGAAGGAGUGCCUUAUUCGUAAGGUUGCAAUAACAAGAUCCAAGCAACUGUUUAUCAAAAACACAGGUCUCCGCUAAGUCGUAAGACGAUGUAUGGGGGCUUACGCCUGCCCAGUGCCAGAAGGUUAAAGAAGUUGGUUAGCAAUUGCGAAGCUGACAACUGAAGCCCUGGUGAACGGCGGCCGUAACAAUAACGGUCCUAAGGUAGCGAAAUUCCUUGUCGGGUAAGUUCCGACCCGCACGAAAGGCGUAAUGAUUUGGAUACUGUCUCGGAGAGGGGCUCGGUGAAAUAGACUUGUCUGUGAAGAUGCGGACUACCUGCACCAGGACAGAAAGACCCUAUGAAGCUUUACUGUAACUUGAAAUUGAAAUUGGACUUUAUUCGCGCAGUAUAGGUGGGAGGCGUUGAUUAUAAUCUUGUGGGAUUAUUGGAGCCAUCAGUGAGAUACCACUCUUGUAAUGUUAGAUUUCUAACUUUGAAUCAUUAUCUGGUCAAAGAACAGUUUCAGGCGGGCAGUUUGACUGGGGCGGUCGCCUCCUAAACGGUAACGGAGGCGUACAAAGGUUUCCUCUGAACGGUUAGAAAUCGUAUCUAGAGUGUAAAGGCAUAAGGAAGCUUGACUGUGAGACCUACAAGUCGAGCAGGGACGAAAGUCGGUCUUAGUGAUCUGACGGUACUGAGUGGAAAGGCCGUCACUCAACGGAUAAAAGUUACUCUAGGAUAACAGGCUGAUCUCCCCCAAGAGUUCACAUCGACGGGGAGGUUUGGCACCUCGAUGUCGGCUCAUCGCAUCCUGGGGCGGUAGUACGUCCCAAGGGUUGGGCUGUUCGCCCAUGAAAGCGGUACGCGAGCUGGGUUCAGAACGUCGUGAGACAGUUCGGUCCAUAUCCGGUGUAGGCGUUAGAAUAUUGAGAGGAGCCUUCUUUAGUACGAGAGGACCGAGAAGGACAUACCUCUGGUGUACCAGUUAUCGUGCCAACGGUAAACGCUGGGUAGCUAUGUAUGGAGUGGAUAACCGCUGAAAGUAUCUAAGUGGGAAGCCCACCUCAAGAUAAGUAUUCUCAU